GAUGAACGCUGGCGGCGUGCCUAAUACAUGCAAGUCGAGCGAACGGACGAGAAGCUUGCUUCUCUGAUGUUAGCGGCGGACGGGUGAGUAACACGUGGAUAACCUACCUAUAAGACUGGGAUAACUUCGGGAAACCGGAGCUAAUACCGGAUAAUAUUUUGAACCGCAUGGUUCAAAAGUGAAAGACGGUCUUGCUGUCACUUAUAGAUGGAUCCGCGCUGCAUUAGCUAGUUGGUAAGGUAACGGCUUACCAAGGCAACGAUGCAUAGCCGACCUGAGGGGGUGAUCGGCCACACUGGAACUGAGACACGGUCCAGACUCCUACGGGAGGCAGCAGUAGGGAAUCUUCCGCAAUGGGCGAAAGCCUGACGGAGCAACGCUGCGUGAGUGAUGAAGGUCUUCGGAUCGUAAAACUCUGUUAUUAGGGAAGAACAUAUGUGUAAGUAACUGUGCACAUCUUGACGGUACCUAAUCAGAAAGCCACGGCUAACUACGUG
rnacentral:rRNA from 1 species